GAUCAAGAUAUUAAGAGCACACGGUGAAUGCCUUGGCACUGGAAGCCGAUGAAGGACGUGGCAAGCUGCGAUAAGCCUCGGGUAGGUGCACACUACCGAUAAUCCGAGGAUGUCCGAAUGGGGAAACCCGGCUAGGGUCAUGCCUAGUCACCCAUGCCUGAACACAUAGGGCAUGAGGAGGUAACCUGGGGAACUGAAACAUCUAAGUACCCAGAGGAAGAGAAAUCAACCGAGAUAUCCCUAGUAGUGGCGAGCGAACGGGACAUAGCCUAAACCCACGUAUGCGUGUAGCCUGCGGGCGUUGCUGCGUGAGGGGUUGCGGGAGUCAUCAUCUCAGGACCGCAGUCCUGGGGCGGAGUUACAAAUCGACGAGGUAGCAGAACGGUUUUGGAAAAGCCGGCCAUAGCGGGUAAAAGCCCCGUACGCCAAACCCCUGUCGACUCCGCGUAUGACCACCCAAGUACUGCAGGACACGUGAAAUCCUGUAGGAAUCCGGGGGGACCACCCUCCAAGGCUAAAUACUCUCCAGUGACCGAUAGUGAACUAGUACCGUGAGGGAAAGGUGAAAAGCACCCCGAGAGGGGAGUGAAAUAGUACCUGAAACCGUGUGCUUACAAGCAGUCAGAGCCUGGAAAGCCGAUCCUUCGGGAUCGGCAGGGUCAUGGCGUGCCUUUUGUAGAAUGAGCCAGCGAGUUACGGUGUGUAGCAAGGUUAAGCUAAAAGCGAGCCGCAGCGAAAGCGAGUCUUUAAACGGGCGCUCAGUUACACGUCGUAGACGCGAAGCCAGGUGAUCUAUCCAUGGCCAGGCUGAAGCGGGAGUAAGAUCUCGUGGAGGGCCGAACCCACUUCGGUUGAAAACGGAGGGGAUGACCUGUGGAUCGGAGUGAAAGGCUAAUCAAACCUGGAGAUAUCUCGUUCUCCCCGAAAUAGCUUUAGGGCUAGCCUCGG
rnacentral:rRNA from 1 species